AUAUAUGUAUAUAUAUAUAGUGUUUGUCACUAAUAUUAAUAUGUUAGCUCAAAAGCUGUACUGCUAGUAAGCUAGCUCACGUUUGCCACAGGUAGAUGUGGGUGAGCUGAUAAAUCAGUUUGAGAGUAAGUUUGAGAGAAUAUGUCAGAAUUUUGAGAUAUCAAGUUAGAUUAGGAUGAGUUUUACUUUCGAGAAGUCAGAAGAUAGAAUUUAGAGAUAAGUUGCAAUCCUGAGUUAAGUUUGAAUUUUGAGCUAAUAGUGAAUGAGUUUGAGAUAAUGCAUCAUAAGUGCGAGAUAAUAAAUCAGUGUGUCUGAGAUAGGUCCGGAUAGACAGGCGCAGGUUUGAGAUAAGUAGUCAGAAUUUUGAGAUAAGUCACUGUUUUGAGAUAAUGAGUCAGAAUUGGAGGGAAUUUUAAAAUAAGCCACAAGUUUGAGCGAGAUCUGACGUUUGAGACGAUAAGUCACAGGUUUGAGAUAACAGGAAACGGGUUUGAGAUAAUGAGUUUUAAUUUGGUCAGAAGUUUAAGAUAUUACAUUAGAAGCAGGAGAUAAUGUCUCGAACGUGUGAAACGAUGUCACAAGUCUUAAUAACAGAUAACAGGUUAUAAUUCUAAGAUGAUUCAAAACUUUUACAUACGUCAGAAUUCUGAGAUAGUAAAUCAUUAUUAUGAGAUAUCAAUAUCAAAGUCAGGAUUUUUUUAUUAAAUAAGACAUACCUCUACCAAAAACGGACAAUGUACACACAAUACAGCCCGAGUGAGAGCAUCGUACAGCCCGAGUGAGAGCAUCAUACAGCCCGAGUGAGUGCAUCAUGCAGCCCGAGUGAGAGUAUAGCACAGCCCGAGUGAGAGCAUCGUACAGCCCGAGUGAGAGCAUUAUACAGCCCGAGUGAGAGCAUCGUACAGCCCGAGUGAGAGCAUCGUACAGCCCGAGUGAGAGCAUCAUACAGCCCGAGUGAGAGCAUUAUACAGCCCGAGUGAGUGCAUCAUACAGCCCGAGUGAGUGCAUCAUGCAGCCCGAGUGAGAGUAUAGCACAGCCCGAGUGAGAGCAUCGUACAGCCCGAGUGAGAGCAUCGUACAGCCCGAGUGAGAGCAUCGUACAGCCCGAGUGAGAGCAUCAUACAGCCCGAGUGAGAGCAUUAUACAGCCCGAGUGAGUGCAUCAUACAGCCCGAGUGAGUGCAUCAUGCAGCCCGAGUGAGAGUAUAGCACAGCCCGAGUGAGAGCAUCGUACAGCCCGAGUGAGAGCAUCGUACAGCCCGAGUGAGUGCAUCAUACAGCCCGAGUGAGUGCAUCGUACAGCCCGAGUGAGAGCAUCAUACAGCCCGAGUGAGUGCAUCAUGCAGCCCGAGUGAGAGUAUAGCACAGCCCGAGUGAGAGCAUCGUACAGCCCGAGUGAGAGCAUUAUACAGCCCGAGUGAGAGCAUCGUACAGCCCGAGUGAGAGCAUUAUACAGCCCGAGUGAGUGCAUCGCACAGCCCGAGUGAGUGCAUCAUACAGCCCGAGUGAGAGCAUCAUACAGCCCGAGUGAGAGCAUCGCACAGCCCGAGUGAAUGCAUAGCACAGCCCAAGUGUGUGCAUUAUACAGCCCGGGUGAGUGCAUCGUACAGCCCGAAUGAGAGCAUCAUACAGCCCGAGUGAGAGCAUCGCACAGCCCGAGUGAGUGCAUCGCACAGCCCGAGUGAGAGCAUCGCACAGCCCGAGUGAGAGCAUCGUACAGCCCGAGUGAGUGUAUCGCACAGCCCGAGUGAGAGCAUCGCACAGCCCGAGUGAGAGCAUCGCAUAGCCCGAGUGAGAGCAUCAUACAGCCCGAGUGAGAGCAUCGCACAGCCCGAGUGAGUGCAUCGCACAGCCCGAGUGAGAGCAUCGUACAGCCCGAGUGAGAGCAUCGUACAGCCCGAGUGAGUGCAUCGUACAGCCCGAUGAGAGCAUCAUACAGUAUUGUAUGAUUAAAAGAACUGGUUCUCUGGUCUGUUAUACAUCAGUGUGGUUUUCUCUCAAAGCUACACUCAAAAGCUACACUUUUGCAGUUUCAAACGCGUCACUCCUGAUCUAAUUCAUUACAGGAGCUCAUCUAGAUCAGAUCCUAGAUCAGAUUCUACUGUUCCUACUGCCUGCUCCUGUAUGUGUGUGAGUAAAACCUGGUAUAGAAUUUAUUCUGCAGGAUGUCUAUUAGACAUCACACACACACACACACACACACACACACACACACACACACACACACACACAUUAAAUAAUAUGUGAGAUUUAUCUUCUCUCACUGUGCUGCAUUUAUAUUGUUUUUGAUAUUAGAUGUAAAGGUGCUUAUGAAAGCAUGGCAUGAAAAUGAGUGCUCUGAUCCUCUUUCAAAGUGUUAGACACACAGCGGUAACACAAAGUUACGUACGUGUGUGUGUGUGUGUGUGUGUGUGUGUGUGUGUGUGUGUGUGUGUGAUAGUAAUUUACUGUAAGCAUGUAUCAAGGUUGUUGUUGUUGUCAUCGUUUGAAUUUCAGUUCAUACUGUCAUUAUCCCCACGCUUCAGACGAAACAAAUGAAAACAAGCUGUGAUUUUUAAACUUGAAUAAUAUUUCAAUGUUUAACAAGAUAUUGUUUCAUUUGUCUGUUAAUGACUGAAAACAACAACAACAACAACAACAACAACAACAACCCAGGAACAUAUCUACACCUCCACUUUCAUUAGAAAUCCCAAAACCUAUGAAUAUACAUGAGUAUUUAAAUUAGAUGCACCUCAGACCCCACCCCUUUCCCUGGCUACCUUGGAAAUGCUAUGCGAUGGUAAAAUAUAUAUAUGUAUAUAUUGACAUAAUAAACAAAUAUAUAUAUAUAUAUUGACAUAAUAAACCAAUAUUUUGGGAUUAUAAAUCAUAUAAACCAUGAGAUAAUAAACAAACCAGAAUGACGAUACGAGUUAUAAAAAAAAAACAAAUAUAUACGAUAUGCGAUGGUGAUGCUUCUGCGUGGUGGAAAGAUGCCAAGUCACGAAUUUCAACCACCGAGAUAUUUAUUCACCAAAAUCAUUAGCUCAGUGCUAAUAUCCAACUGUAAAGUAUUUUUGCUGUACAUGUGAGCACAUGGAUAGACAGCUAGUUAAAAUCUGGUGAACUAGCUCACAUUUGCCACAGGUAGACUAGUCUGACAAGCCAGAUGCAGACAAGUCAAAUGCAUUUUUUAAAUAAAUCACGUUUUACACGACCGCCAGGGGUGAAAUUUGGCCUGGGCAUUGGUGGCUGACUUUUUCUUUAUCCCCGAAUAAUUCUCCACUUGGAGCGGUUCGUCACUACGUAAAAGACGCUUGUGAUAUUAUAUCUUCAGUGAAUGGAGGUGAGACCAAUCAGACAGGGUUUACAGGAAAAUACAUGGAAAUACUCGUGUCUUAUUGGCUGACGGUCUCUCCAUCCAUCCAUCCAUCCAAUCUCUAUACCGCUUUAUCCUUUUCAGGGUCACGGGGAACCUGGAGCCUAUCCCAGGGAGCACAAGGAAGGGUGCCAAUCCAUCGCAGGGCACACUCACAUACACACUCACACACCCAUUCAUACACUACGGACACUUUAGACACGCCAAUCAGCCUACCGUGCAUGUGUUUGGACUGGGGGAGGAAACCGGAGUACCCGGAGGAAACCCCCGCAGCACGGGGAGAACAUGCAAACUCCACACACACA
ensembl:lncRNA